rnacentral:rRNA from 2 species
AGUUAUGUCAUGUUAUCGAUAUGUGAAUACAUAGCAUAUCAGAAGGCACACCCGGAGAACUGAAACAUCUUAGUACCCGGAGGAAGAGAAAGAAAAUUCUAUUCCCUUAGUAGCGGCGAGCGAAACGGGAAGAGCCCAAACCAACAAGCUUGCUUGUUGGGGUUGUAGGACACUCUAUACGGAGUUACAAAGGACGACAUUAGACGAAUCAUCUGGAAAGAUGAAUCAAAGAAGGUAAUAAUCCUGUAGUCGAAAAUGUUGUCUCUCUUGAGUGGAUCCUGAGUACGACGGAGCACGUGAAAUUCCGUCGGAAUCUGGGAGGACCAUCUCCUAAGGCUAAAUACUCUCUAGUGACCGAUAGUGAACCAGUACCGUGAGGGAAAGGUGAAAAGCACCCCGGAAGGGGAGUGAAAUAGAACCUGAAACCGUGUGCUUACAAGUAGUCAGAGCCCGUUAAUGGGUGAUGGCGUGCCUUUUGUAGAAUGAACCGGCGAGUUACGAUUUGAUGCAAGG